UUGGAGUGUAAACCCCGUUUCGACCGGGACGAAUACCUCGCAAGAGGGGUGACGGUACCGGUAUAAGAAGCCCCGGCUAACUACGUGCCAGCAGCCGCGGUAAGACGUAGGGGGCCAGCGUUGCUCGGAAUUACUGGGUGUAAAGGGUUCGUAGGCGGUGUGGCAAGUCGGGAGUGAAAUCUCUGGGCUCAACCCAGGGGCUGCUUCCGAAACUGCCGUGCUAGAGUGUGGGAGAGGCGCGUGGAAUUGCAGGUGUAGCGGUGAAAUGCGUAGUAUCUGCAGGAACACCCGUGGCGAAAGCGGCGCGCUGGACCACUACUGACGCUGAGGAAUGAAAGCUAGGGGAGCAAACAGCAUUAGAUACCCUGGUAGUCCUAGCCCUAAACGAUCAGGACUUGGGGUGCCACCCGUUCGGGUGUCGUCCCGGAGCUAACGCGUUAAGUCCUGCACCUGGGGAGUACGGUCGCAAGACUGACACU
rnacentral:rRNA from 1 species